UGCCGAGGAGCGCUGCGACCUUGAAACUUGAGGGCCAGGCUCGGCAUAUCUCAACGGCGCUCGC
rnacentral:ncRNA from 1 species